rnacentral:rRNA from 1 species
AACGAACGCUGGCGGCAUGCCUAACACAUGCAAGUCGAACGAGACCUUCGGGUCUAGUGGCGCACGGGUGCGUAACGCGUGGGAACCUGCCCUUAGGUUCGGAAUAACUCCCCGAAAGGGGUGCUAAUACCGGAUAAUGUCUUCGGACCGAAGAUUUAUCGCCUUUGGAUGGGCCCGCGUUGGAUUAGCUAGUUGGUAGGGUAAAAGCCUACCAAGGCGACGAUCCAUAGCUGGUCUGAGAGGAUGAUCAGCCACACUGGGACUGAGACACGGCCCAGACUCCUACGGGAGGCAGCAGUGGGGAAUAUUGGACAAUGGGCGAAAGCCUGAUCCAGCAAUGCCGCGUGAGUGAUGAAGGCCUUAGGGUUGUAAAGCUCUUUUACCCGGGAUGAUAAUGACAGUACCGGGAGAAUAAGCUCCGGCUAACUCCGU